rnacentral:rRNA from 1 species
GGAUUAGGCAUGCAAGUCGAACGAAUCCCGGGGGGCAACUCCCGGGGGAAGUGGCGAAAGGGGCAGUAAGGCGUGGGCAACCUACCUCGGGGACGGGCAUAGCCCUCCUAACGGAGGGGUAAUUCCCGGCGAGGUGGCCUGGGGGCAUCUUCGGGCCAUGAAAGGAAUUUCGCCUCGAGAGGGGCUCACGUGAUAUCAGCUUGUUGGUGGGGUCACGGCCCACCAAGGCUACGACGUCUAGCCGGUGUGAGAGCACGACCGGCGCCACUGGCACUGAGACACUGGCCAGACUCCUACGGGAGGCUGCAGUCGAGGAUCUUCGGCAAUGGGCGCAAGCCUGACCGAGCGACGCCGCGUGUGCGAUGAAGGCCUUCGGGUUGUAAAGCACUGUCGAGGGGGAGGAAAGCCCGCAAGGGCCUGACCUAUCCCUGGAGGAAGCACGGGCUAAGUUCGUGCCAGCAGCCGCGGUAAGACGAACCGUGCGAACGUUGUUCGGAUUCAUUGGGCUUAAAGGGCGCGUAGGCGGCCGCUCAAGUCGGGGGUGAAAUCUUUCAGCUUAACUGGAAAAUAGCCUCCGAUACUGGGUGGCUGGAGGGAGAUAGGGGUGCGCGGAACUUCCGGUGGAGCGGUGAAAUGCGUAGAUAUCGGAAGGAACGCCGGUGGCGAAAGCGGCGCACUGGAUCUCCACUGACGCUGAGGCGCGAAAGCCAGGGGAGCAAACGGGAUUAGAUACCCCGGUAGUCCUGGCCCUAAACGAUGGGUACUAGGUAGUGGGCUUGCAUGGGCUCACUGCCGAAGCAAAAGUGUUAAGUACCCCGCCUGGGGAGUAUGGUCGCAAGGC